AUUGAACGCUGGCGGCAGGCCUAACACAUGCAAGUCGAGCGGAUGAAGGGAGCUUGCUCCUGGAUUCAGCGGCGGACGGGUGAGUAAUGCCUAGGAAUCUGCCUGGUAGUGGGGGAUAACGUCCGGAAACGGGCGCUAAUACCGCAUACGUCCUGAGGGAGAAAGUGGGGGAUCUUCGGACCUCACGCUAUCAGAUGAGCCUAGGUCGGAUUAGCUAGUUGGUGGGGUAAAGGCCUACCGAGGCGACGAUCCGUAACUGGUCUGAGAGGAUGAUCAGUCACACUGGAACUGAGACACGGCCCAGACUCCUACGGGAGGCAGCAGUGGGGAAUAUUGGACAAAGGGCGAAAGCCUGAUCCAGCCAUGCCGCGGGUGUGAAGAAGGUCUUCGGAUUGUAAAGCACUUUAAGUUGGGAGGAAGGGCAGUAAGUUCAUACCUUGCUGUUUUGACGUUACCAACAGAAUAAGCACCGGCUAACUUCGUG
rnacentral:rRNA from 1 species